GAGGAUAUGUAAUAAAAAUGCACGGGGCAGUUUCCUUUUUAUUUCCUAAAUUACCUAAUCUUUAAUUCCCACCUAUAAUCAGUUGUUCACAGAUGAAGAAGGCUGAGACAUUGCUCCUGAGCGCUCUCUCAGCCCCUGGGCUCAAAGGCAGAUGCCUCUGUUUCACUGCCUGAUCCACCCCAUCAUUUAAUCCUUCAUCAUGUGAAUUACAUCAUUAGUCAACAAGCCUUCACUGAUCGUCCGCUCUCUGGGAAGCGAACACAGCGAAUGCGCUGCUUGGCUGCAUCCACGUGUUUGUGGCGAAGUUCUCCCCGAGGACGGCCGUGAUUCGAGAGGAAAGGUGUUCCUGGAUCAGUGCAGACCGAGUUUCGAAGGGUCCCUAACUCGCUGGCCGGGGCUCCUGAUGGAUUUGCCGUCUUGGAGACAGCUGAUCUGGUGCCUCUCCAUCCUUCCCUUCUUUUCACCGGCUUUCCUGUCUCCAUGGUUACCAGGAUUCCAAUGUUACCACGGUGUAUCCUGAACAGGAAGCCGUCGUCCAGUCUCUCCUGGGAAUGUACGGAUGGUGUCCCUCUCUCUCCCUCGUCUAUUCCUCCCAAGUGUCUGUAUUUCAUUGAUUCUCUGAUGCCCACUGUUUGUAUUUGCACAUUUCGGAGACUGGUCUACAUUUAAAAUCAGUGGUGGAUCCUAAUUUGUUAGGUUUCUUUCUGUCUUAGUGGCACGCCAAGUCAUGGUACUACUGACUAUAGUUUAGAUUUGCUGGAAUAUUCCAACUGGGGCCUUGAGCGAUCCUGAACCAGUGGGAGUGGUUUUAACAACCCCCUUCCCAGUGCGGUGAGGACAGAGGCAUCUUGUUAAAAAAAGGUGCUUUCCUGUCACUUCUGGAACCUUCCAGGUGCUGUCUUUUACUCUACAUCAGACCCACCUGACUCUGUUUUGGCAGCUGUGGCUUUUGUCUUUCUGCUCCUGCCUGGUGUCUGUUUCCUGCCUGGGUUUCCCUUUCCUUCCGUGGGGCUGUCUGUACCCCCAAAUCCUGCCUUUGCCUCUAGGCUCCAUCCCCUGCUUUGUCCUGGCUCCGUGUUCUGCAGUCCGGGGACACUCUCGCCGGUGGGUGCCCAGCCGAGUCUCGUGGUCCUGCUGGAGCAGAGACAGAGCCUGCCCACCUGCUGGGGAGAGAUGAUCUGAAGAGGAACUCAGACUCUGGUUUUGAUGUUUGCAACUUCAGCAUGUUGCACAGCUACUGGCACAUAAUGAGACUUGCAAAAUGCUUGUGAUAAAUCCAUGAGCCAACCGCUGCAUUAUUUUCGUCUCGGUGACGUACGGGUGCAGAAAUCUACUUGUUGUGUAUUUUUUCCACAAUGAGAAGGCAGAGUGCAGAGCUGUUCCCUAGCAGGGCUGGGGCCUCUGGUCUCGAGCCUUUGUUGACCUUUUCAUUUAGAGGAGGUGGUGGUGGUUUUUUUUUCUGCUCUCCCCCACCCCCAGGCUGGGACCGGUUAGCUCUGCUGGGGCCGAGUGAGGUGGGGCAGCUAUGUCUUGUCUUCCCUCUCUGCACAGCCUCACACCUGGCUGGCCUUGACAUUCUCAGUUUCCCUGGGGCAGGUCCAAGUUUGCGGCUGAGCCCGAGCUGCGGCGAGGUGCAUCUCCACGGCCUUUGCCUUCCAGUUCAGUCCUGAAGAGGCUGUUUGCAUCCGCCAAACAUCUAGGAUUCAGUCCUGCUCCCUCCUCUGGCUUUGACCUCACUCUUCUGUAAAGGCUGGCUCUUAACCUGGUUAAUGUCCUCACUAAGGGCAGCUCUCCAUCUGUGAGGACAACGGAGCUUCCCUGUGAAUCGAGCACUUUCUUAACACACUGGAGGGCCAGGGACAUUAGGAGACAAGGUCCCUGCCUUCUCGAAGCUUCCCUCCCACUCAGCAACAUACUGAAAAGAAGAGCUAGCCAUGCAGUAGCUCCUAUCAGACUGGUUUGUUCACACGACUAUCGUGAUUUUUCAGGACUCUUCAUUCUAAUCUAGAUCUUGAUGUCCUAGUUCAGAUUUCUUCUAGAAAGCAGGUCUGGUCCUUCUUUUCCUUAGUUAGGGGCUGUGGAGGUGGGUGGUUUUUCCCUAAGAUGGGCACCAUGAGGUGUUUUGCAGUGAUGCGUUAUCUGGACUCCUAUGAGCUCAUGUUAAAAUAUUCAGGCAUGUUCAGGCAAGCUCAGGAAUAACGAACUCGACUAGUAUGCACGAGGACACAGGUUCGAUCCCUGGCCUCGCUCAGUGGGUUAAGGAUCUGGCAUUACUGUGAGCUGUGGUAUAGGCCACAGAUGUGGCUUGAAUCCUGAGUUGCUUUGGCUGUGGCAGAGGCUGGCAGCUGUAGCUCUGAUUUGACCCCUAGACGUGCUGGCGGCAGCAGCAUGAGGCCCUCCCGAGGUGGGUGAUGCUGCGGUUCCCGUGCCGACUGUCUGCUUGGCUCCAUGCUUACCUCCGGCAGAACCACCUGCUGGGUUUCAGGUUUGAGGGCAGCAGGUGGUAGAGGCUUUAACUUCCAUGCCUCCAUUUCACCAUCUGAAAAAUGGACGUAACGGCACCGCCUUCUGGGAUCCAGUGCAGUUCUGGGCACACAGCUUCGGGCAGCUCAUAAAAGUCACCAUUCGCAUCUGCACAUAACCCUCCUAGGGUGCGAGUUGGGGGCAGCAGUGAGUGAGAAGGAUAGAUGCGCACUGUACAGACGAGCUUGUUCAACAGGCCGUGAGGACUCUGGAGGGAUUUCGGUCUGCGGGGAUCUGCUUUUGGAAUCCUGGAGACGGGGGCGGGGGGCGGGGGGGGCAGGAGAUCUGGCCACUCGGGCCGUCCUCACAGGGCCCCGGUGCACUGUCCUGCUUGGACUUUGUUGCUUUCCAUCUUUUCUGGAACAUUCCGGCCAGCGCACAGCUUAGGGAGCGGGUGAUGAAAGAUUAGGGCUCCCAUUACCCGGGCUGAUGGAGUGGUAUCUAGUAAGCGGGACAGGGAGAGCCAGAAGCCUGGUUCUCAUCCUCCCUGCUGGUCAAUUACCUGACUGGCUACGGUCAGUCGGCAUGAGUGACAAGGGGCACAUUUUUCUAACUGGCUCCCGCAGGGCCUCGCCAUCAGCUGAGAAGCAAGCCUCUGCCGUGAGGUGGGGCUCUGGGCUAGCCACGCGGAACAGGAGAUACUUAUUGGAGCGGCUUCUUAUCUCUGGUGUGCCUUCCUCCAGGGUGACCUGUAGUCAUUCCGGGAAUCCUUACUUUGCUAAGUCCCGGCCAGCGACGGCGGUGUGCGACUCUCACCGGCGGCCAUCUU
rnacentral:lncRNA from 1 species